ACUCAGCUGGGAGCAGAGGGGUUAGAGGGUUAGAGUGGUAACAGCCGGUCACAGCCUGUCCGACCCCCGACCGUGACCAGGACAGAGCAGGGGCGGGCGGCGCUGACGUCACAACUCAGCACACAGUAAUGUCCUGACUGUGCGCGGCUUUACCGCGGCCACCACGCCCCCCCACAUCGAGGGGAGGGUCACCACGGCCUCGCCCCCACAGGGACCAUGUCACUCAGGGCACUCAGCAGGGCACAGGGACAGGAGGGUGACACACGGGCCUGGUGUCACCAGCCACACACCCGCUGGGACUGAGCCCCUGUCUCUGUCGGAAUGUGUCACCAGUUUUGCUGUCUGAAGAUCCAGGAAGGAAGUAGCAGCUAAGACGGUCAUGGACAGGCAGUGAAGCCAGACACCUGGGAAGAAGGACGAGGAAGUACAGACUGCAAGAAUUUGAACACAGCCAUCCAGGCUGCAGUCAUGACAGCCUUCCCUUACCUGUGGUGGCCAGCUGUGCACACCUCCCCUGGAGAUUAGUCAACCUCUGUAGCUCACAGUGAGCCUGGACAACAGGAGCUUCUCACUACAUCAUCUGCUGUAGCACGAAUCUUAAAAGGUCUUAUUAAUAAAAACAAACCCAGUGCCAGUUAUUGGGAUGAACACUGGAAGAUCAGAGAAGCAGAACAAGCCACAGCCACCUCAUUUCACCAACUCCUCAGCUGAUCCUGUUUCCUCAAACUGGAAGCCUCUGUGUCCUCAUCUGAAUGGCUCUCAGCUGAACUACUGCUCAAAACCUAAAAGCUUAACCAGCCAAAUGCUUCUAGUUUCUGAUCUUCACGCCUUAUAUAUCUUUCUGCUUCCUGCCAUCACUCCCUGGGAUUAAAGGCUUACUUCUUGGGAUUAAA